UUUGAUAUUUUUGCUAUAUUUAUUUAUAUAUAUUUUGAUAUUUUACUAUUUUGAACAAAAUAAUUUUAACAUUUUAUCCAAUAAUGUUACAUAUUUUGAAAAGCUUAUCCAGAAAUAGUAAAUUAAGGCCUUAAUGCAUGUUUUUUUGCUCUGCUUUUUAUGAAGAAUUUAUAGGGUGUAUUGCAUCAUAAAUGAGAAGAAAUUAUUAUAGAACUGAUAUUAAAGAAUGCUGAGACUAUUCUUUUUUUUUUUUUUUGACUAUUCUAUAAUUUGUAGUAUCAGAUUUAUAUCUAGAUUUAUUGUCAACUGAGCCAAAUAUUUUUUUAAGUAAUACCUUACAGUCUGGAAUUAUAUAAAAUCCUAAUAUUUUUUUUAAACCGUUGGCUUCUUGAUUAUAAAAAAAUAAAACUGCAUUUUCCAAUUAUCAGACUUAUAAAUAUACAAGAAAAUGUACCUGACCUCAUAUCCGUAUACUAUAUAUGUGGUAGAGAUAUGUAUGUUUCUGGUAUCAGUUUAAAAAAAAAAUCAUAAUAGAAUGAUGGAGUAAUACUUGUGUAGUAGAAUGAUAUUUUGCAAAUCAAAAUGUAUAAGAUUCAUUGAUGACGUUCAGUGCAAUUCUAAAUCAAAAUUCAAUUUAGAGUUAUUUCUGAAGUUUAUGAAUAUGUAUGAAAAAAUGCACAUUUUAAGUGAAAAUGGCCAAAAAAGUGAGUUACAGCUGUUUUUACUUUGGUUAUUUUGGAUUUUAAUCUGAAUUUAUCUUCCAAACUUGAAAAACAUAUAUAAUAAUAUGGACACAUCUAUGUGACCAGAUAAACCUAAGGUAAACGUAUUUUGGAUAAGUUGGACGUCACUGAUAAAACACAAACAUCGAUCAAAAAUCUUUAAAGAAACACCAAAAAUAAAAAUAUCAAACAUGUAAACAUGUGUGCCAAAAUGGUAUCUAAUCCAUUAUUACGCAAUAUUCAAUGUUUUAUUCAAUGUGUAAUAUGGCUAUAUUUAAGUGCAAAAUAUAGUGUUUUAUAAAUAAAAUGUUGUUGAUUUUAAAUAUGUUUUUAAUUUGUUUAAAAUACAUAUUUCUUCUAUUAUUCUUUUAUUCUAAAUAGCCAUUAGAUCAUACAAGUAUUUGGCAGCACUCUUAUUAUAACUUUAACUUUUGAAAACUCAGCCAUAACAUACAUUUGUCACUCCCCUGGAUUACUAAUGUGUUUACGUGACCCAAUAUUUAACAAAAAAAAAGCUUGUGAAAAAUAAAAUCCACACCUUUUUAUCCUGUUACUAGGCAGCUCCAUCUUAGAUCCCUAUCCGCCACUGUAAGAAACUUUGUUCUUUGAACUUAUUAGUCAGCAUAGAGAAAGCAUACAGAGAAGAGGAGAAAUUAAAUAAUG